GGUGGGCAUAGCCCCGGGGCCGCAGAAAACGAAGGCAGCUGGGCAGGGAUGCUCAAUUUCCCGAGCCCCACUUUCCUUUCACAGCCCACUGGGAUGUGUAGUUCUUCCGCCCGCAGGCCUGCGCCGAGGAGAAGCACGACUCGGGGCCUUAGAAACUACAAGUCCCUGCAUCCCCCGCGACAAGGGCAGGAGAGGCGUGGUGCUGGGCGUUCUGGGGCUAGGUGGUGGGAGAUGGGAACCAACAAAGGGGGUUGUGGGGAACGGUGCCUUCUCUGUACUGGGCAGUUUGCACGUUACACAUGUUCUUUGUCUAAUCUUCGCCGGAACCCGGUGAGGCAUUAUUGUAUCCAGCUUAGAGAAAGCUUAACUACUGGCCAAACAUCACAAAGCUCCCAAGUAGUAGAGAUGGCAUCGAACCCAGAGCCCUAAGUAUGUCCCUUACAAAGCGUGCCUCAGUGAGGAGUGUCGAAGGGGGAUGAGAUUGGCUUAUCCAAGAGGGCCAGUUGGGAGGAGCUGUGGUAAGGAAAAAGUGAUGGGAAUAGCAAUUAGAGUAUGACAUGCAAUUACAAGGAGUUUUGAAUACAAGUGAAAUUUACAGGGGUCCAUUCCAAAGCCGGUUAGAGUCUAGGGAGAAUGGAUCUUAAGCACACGAUAAUAAUUGGGUUUUAAUUAUUUUAGAUAUUGUAUGAGAGACAAGCAUAUUACAGGGACAAUUAAGUAUUUGUGGCUGGACUAGUUUUAAAAAACCAACUGGAAAGCUUCAUACAUUUCAAGUGAAAGCUCUCAUAUGCUUUCCUGUCCUUUAGCUAAUGAGAUCAACGGGGUAUUAUUCUUAUUCUGUUUAUUGCAAGCACCUUUUCUGUGGGUGUCCAAUUAAUAUAAUAGAUCCAUUGAUUUGAUGGCAUUAAAAAAGACUCCCACUCUUAUUCUCAAUGAAACCGAAUUUUUCUGGCAUUAUGGUUAUGCUUUUAAAAAGUCCUUCCUUGUCUGUUAGAGAUAUGUACUAAAGUAUCUGCCAGCGAAAUAAUAUAAAGUCUGAAAUGUGCUUUAAAACACACCAGCCCAUCCACUCCCCUCCUCCCACCCACCCAGCUCCAGACAUGGAGGUAUAAAUGAAACAAUUGGAAACUGUUGAAAAUAGUUGACCUUGGGUGACAUGUACUUGUACUUAAUUAUUUAUUGCUGCAAAUUGCCACAAACGUAGUGGCCUUAAAACAAGACAGAUUUUUCUCACAGUUUUUAUGGAUCAGGUGUCCAGGUACACUCAGUCCCCCACUUAGGGUCUCACGCCUGCCAUCAAGGGGCUGGCCAGGCUGCGUUCACAUUCACUGGAGAAGAACUGGCUUCCACUCUGACUCCGGGCACAGGCAAAAUUCCUUUCCUUGCAGCAGUAGGACCGAGGGCCCUGGCUUCUUGCUGGCUGGAGACUGGAGACUGUCCUCAGCUCCAAGAGGGAACCUGCAAUUCCUAGAGGUUACCUGGACUUCAUUGUCACUUGGGCUUUCCGAGCACAGCCACUUAUUUUGUCAGGCCUGCAAGGAGAGUCCCCAGAGUGAGUCUCCAGCAAGACAGAAUUUUAUAUAACAUAAAGCAAUCCCACGGGGGCAACUUCAAAUGUGAACAUUCUGUUGGCCAGAAAGCAUGUUUUGCACACACUCAAAGGGAGAGGAGUACACAGGGCAUGAACCCUAGGGUGAGGGACACCCCGGAGUGCAUCCACCACAGUGUACAUGAGAGUCCAUUAUGCUUUUCUUACCUACCACAUCUACUCAUGUUUAUGUUUGACAUUUUCCAUAAUAAAAAGAAAUGAAUUCGUUUUAAAAUGUUACCUAAAGUUUCCACAGCAAAUAAGAUAUGCUGAUAUGAUUUCUAAAUAGCUGAUACAAUUGUCUGUAGUUGUCUUCCAGGGGAUAACUUUUUUCUUCCCACUCCAUGUGUACUAAGACCUCUGCGGUUAAUUCACUUGUAUGGGUUACCCUCCCCUAAGAGCGUUCACUAGAACCUGGUGUGUGAUAGCUGCAGAGUUCACCUCACCAGCUACAGUUGAUCUUGAACAAUAUGGGUUUGAACAGCGUGGAUGCCCUUAGACACGGAUUUUUUUCAACCAAAUGCAGAUGGAAAAUACAGCAUCCGUG
rnacentral:lncRNA from 10 species